CGCUGGCGGUGGAUAGACUGCAGUCGGACGAGAUUUCCGUUGUACAAUACGAUGGAAAGUCUACGUGGCGAACGGGUGCUUAACACGUGGGCAACCUGCCAAGAAGUGGGGGAUAGCUCGCCGAAAGGCGAAUUAAUACCGCAUGUGAUUAGAGAGGACAUCCUUUCGAAAUUAAAGUCGGGGCAACCUGACGUUUCUUGUGGGGCCCGCGGCCUAUCAGCUAGUUGGUGAGGUAACGGCUCACCAAGGCUUUGACGGGUAGCUGGUCUGAGAGGACGACCAGCCACACUGGGACUGAGACACGGUCCGGACUCCUACGGGAGGCAGCAGUGGGGAAUAUUGGACAAUGGGCGAAAGCCUGAUCCAGCGACGCCGCGUGGGUGAAGAAGGCCUGCGGGUUGUAAAGCCCUUUCGGUGGGGAAGAAAAGCCUCGAGUUAACGCCUCGGGGUCUUGACGUAACCCAUAGAAGAAGCACCGGCUAACUCUGUGCCAGCAGCCGCGGUAAUACAGAGGGUGCGAGCGUUAAUCGGAAUUACUGGGCGUAAAGCGCGCGUAGGCGGCUUUGCAAGUCGGGUGUGAAAUCCCCAGGCUUAACCUGGGAACUGCAUUCGAGACUGCAUUGCUAGAGUAUGGGAGAGGGAAGUGGAAUUUCCGGUGUAGCGGUGAAAUGCGUAGAUAUCGGAAGGAACAUCAGUGGCGAAAGCGACUUCCUGGACCAAUACUGACGCUCAUGUGCGAAAGCGUGGGGAUCAAACAGGAUUAGAUACCCUGGUAGUCCACGCCCUAAACUAUGGAUACUCGACAUUUGCGAUAAACUGCAAGUGUCUGAGCGAAAGCAUUAAGUAUCCCACCUGGGAAGUACGAUCGCAAGAUUGAAACUCAAAGGAAUUGGCGGGGGUCCGCACAAGCGGUGGAGCAUGUGGUUUAAUUCGACGCAACGCGAAGAACCUUACCAGGGCUUGACAUGCACGGGUAAAUCGUGGAAACACGAUCCCCCGCAAGGGCUCGUGCACAGGUGGUGCAUGGCUGUCGUCAGCUCGUGUCGUGAGAUGUUGGGUUAAGUCCCGCAACGAGCGCAACCCUUGCCUCCAGUUGCCAGCGGGUCAUGCCGGGGACUCUGGAGGGACUGCCGGUGUUAAACCGGAGGAAGGUGGGGAUGACGUCAAGUCCUCAUGGCCUUUAUGCCCAGGGCUGCACACGUGCUACAAUGGCAUGAACAAAGGGACGCAAACUCGCGAGAGGGAGCAAAUCCCAAAAAACAUGCCCCAGUUCAGAUCGAAGGCUGCAACUCGCCUUCGUGAAGUUGGAAUCGCUAGUAAUCGCGGGUCAGCAACACCGCGGUGAAUGUGUUCCUGAGCCUUGCACUCA
rnacentral:rRNA from 1 species